rnacentral:rRNA from 1 species
GUUAGACGAACAGCCUGGAAAGGCCGACGAUACAGGGUGAUAGUCCCGUAGUUGACGACGUGUGUUCAGUGAAAUCGAGUAGGGCGGGACACGUGAUAUCCUGUCUGAAUAUGGGGGGACCAUCCUCCAAGGCUAAAUACUACUGACUGACCGAUAGUGAACCAGUACCGUGAGGGAAAGGCGAAAAGAACCCCUGUGAGGGGAGUGAAAUAGAACCUGAAACCGUGUACGUACAAGCAGUAGGAGCAGGCUUGUCCUGUGACUGCGUACCUUUUGUAUAAUGGGUCAGCGACUUAUAUUCAGUGGCAAGGUUAACCAUCUAGGGGAGCCGUAGGGAAACCGAGUCUUAACUGGGCGUUCAGUCUCUGGAUAUAGACCCGAAACCAGGUGAUCUAGCCAUGGGCAGGUUGAAGGUUGAGUAACAUCAACUGGAGGACCGAACCGACUAAUGUUGAAAAAUUAGCGGAUGACUUGUGGCUAGGGGUGAAAGGCCAAUCAAACCUGGAGAUAGCUGGUUCUCCCCGAAAGCUAUUUAGGUAGCGCCUCGGACGAAUACUACUGGGGGUAGAGCACUGUUAAGGCUAGGGGGUCAUCCCGACUUACCAACCCUUUGCAAACUCCGAAUACCAGUAAGUACUAUCCGGGAGACACACGGCGGGUGCUAACGUCCGUCGUGGAGAGGGAAACAACCCAGACCGCCAGCUAAGGUCCCAAAUUACUACUAAGUGGGAAACGAUGUGGGAAGGCUCAGACAGGACGUAUCAGAAGUGCGAAUGCUGACAUGAGUAACGAUAAAGGGGGUGAAAAACCUCCUCGCCGGAAGACCAAGGGUUCCUGUCCAACGUUAAUCGGGGCAGGGUAAGUCGACCCCUAAGGCGAGGCCGAAAGGCGUAGUCGAUGGGAAACGGGUUAAUAUUCCCGUACUUCUUACAAUUGCGAUGGGGGGACGGAGAAGGCUAGGUGGGCCUGGCGACGGUUGUCCAGGUUCAAGUGCGUAGGCUGAAGAGUUAGGUAAAUCCGGCUCUUUCUAAGGCUGAGACACGACGUCGAGCACCUACGGGUGUGAAGUCAUUGAUGCCAUGCUUCCAGGAAAAGCCUCUAAGCUUCAGAUUGUAAGGAAUCGUACCCCAAACCGACACAGGUGGUCGGGUAGAGAAUACCAAGGCGCUUGAGAGAACUCGGGUGAAGGAACUAGGCAAAAUGGUACCGUAACUUCGGGAGAAGGUACGCUCUCGACGGUGAAGUCCCUCGCGGAUGGAGCUAUUGAGAGUCGCAGAUACCAGGUGGCUGCAACUGUUUAUUAAAAACACAGCACUGUGCAAAAUCGCAAGAUGACGUAUACGGUGUGACGCCUGCCCGGUGCCGGAAGGUUAAUUGAUGGGGUUAGACUUCGGUCGAAGCUCUUGAUCGAAGCCCCGGUAAACGGCGGCCGUAACUAUAACGGUCCUAAGGUAGCGAAAUUCCUUGUCGGGUAAGUUCCGACCUGCACGAAUGGCGUAAUGAUGGCCACGCUGUCUCCACCCGAGACUCAGUGAAAUUGAAAUCGCUGUGAAGAUGCAGUGUACCCGCGGCUAGACGGAAAGACCCCGUGAACCUUUACUACAGCUUGGCACUGAACAUUGACCCUACAUGUGUAGGAUAGGUGGGAGGCUUUGAAGCGCAGUCGCUAGAUUGCGUGGAGCCGUCCUUGAAAUACCACCCUUGUAGUGUUGAUGUUCUAACGUYGACCCCUWAUCGGGGUUGCGGACAGUGCCUGGUGGGUAGUUUGACUGGGGCGGUCUCCUCCCAAAGCGUAACGGAGGAGCACGAAGGUGGGCUAAUCACGGUUGGACAUCGUGAGGUUAGUGCAAUGGCAUAAGCCCGCUUGACUGCGAGAAUGACAAUUCGAGCAGGUGCGAAAGCAGGUCAUAGUGAUCCGGUGGUUCUGAAUGGAAGGGCCAUCGCUCAACGGAUAAAAGGUACUCCGGGGAUAACAGGCUGAUACCGCCCAAGAGUUCAUAUCGACGGCGGUGUUUGGCACCUCGAUGUCGGCUCAUCACAUCCUGGGGCUGAAGUCGGUCCCAAGGGUAUGGCUGUUCGCCAUUUAAAGUGGUACGCGAGCUGGGUUUAGAACGUCGUGAGACAGUUCGGUCCCUAUCUGCCGUGGGCGUUGGAGAAUUGAAAGGGGCUGCUCCUAGUACGAGAGGACCGGAGUGGACGAACCUCUGGUGUUCGGGUUGUGUCGCCAGACGCAUUGCCCGGUAGCUAAGUUCGGGAUCGAUAACCGCUGAAAGCAUCUAAGCGGGAAGCGAGCCUUGAGAUGAGUUCUCCCUGAUACUUUAAGUAUCCUAAAGGGUUGU